rnacentral:lncRNA from 1 species
AUGCUCUGAUACUACUAUUAGAAUAGGUGUAGGGUUUCAUGCAUGAAUUUCAAAACUUUUUUGAAAUAAAAUACAGCAAAACAUGUAAAUUAAAUAAUUUAAUCUACAAAUACAUGUAAUCAAAUUACUAAACCCUACAAUUAGGACAUAUAAUAUGUCAUAUUAUAUUUAUAAAUUAAAAAAUAAAAUAUUUGAUAUAGAUCAAAUCAAUACCCU